GGUUAAUUUACCGUGGUCCAUGACUCAAUCGAAUUAAUCGUUUUCGUUUGAUCCUCGAUCGCCUACGCCGACGCGAGCUAAGUCGACUAAAAAUGUAUUUUUUAUUAGCCGUGUACCGUAAUUUUUUUUUAUAGGUACCUAUUUGGUGUUGCACCGGGUUCCGGAUAUGGGUGCCGGGGGAGGGUCGCGGCGAUCGUUACGCGCGGCGUUACAAAUGUAAACGAAAUUCGCGUGCUUCCCGUGGCCCCGCGCCGUUCAUGACACAGUCCGAUUUCCUGCCGUCGCCCCCCGGCCGCCGAUCAGGCGAUCGUUAGAUUAGCGUUCGGAUAUUAUUAUUAUAUAAUAUUUCACGUCGAUUUUUUUUUUUUUUUUUUUAUUAUUUUUCUCCCCGUUCUUGCAUAAUUCAAUAGCAUUACAGCGUACACGUAUACAGUGAUACAGAGAUAAUGGCGGACGC